rnacentral:rRNA from 1 species
AGUGAACGCUGGCGGUAGGCCUAACACAUGCAAGUCGAACGGCAGCACAGUAAGAGCUUGCUCUUACGGGUGGCGAGUGGCGGACGGGUGAGGAAUACAUCGGAAUCUACUUUUUCGUGGGGGAUAACGUAGGGAAACUUACGCUAAUACCGCAUACGACCUACGGGUGAAAGCAGGGGAUCUUCGGACCUUGCGCGAUUGAAUGAGCCGAUGUCGGAUUAGCUAGUUGGCGGGGUAAAGGCCCACCAAGGCGACGAUCCGUAGCUGGUCUGAGAGGAUGAGCAGCCACACUGGAACUGAGACACGGUCCAGACUCCUACGGGAGGCAGCAGUGGGGAAUAUUGGACCAUGGGCGCAAGCCUGAUCCAGCCAUACCGCGUGGGUGAAGAAGGCCUUCGGGUUGUAAAGCCCUUUUGUUGGGAAAGAAAAGCAGCAGGUUAAUACCCCGCUGUUCUGACGGUACCCAAAGAAUAAGCACCGGCUAACUUCGUG